AUCCAAGCUGAAUAGUUCGGGUUUUAAUACAAUAUUUCAGUGUGAAACCAAAACAAAUGUUAAACCUUGGAAGCUGUAUAAAAUUGAAUUGUCAUUAUCUAGUCAGUUUUUGUUUUAAGCACCUUGAAUUGUAGUGAAGACAAUAAGAAAUGAAAAUGCUCAACUAUUUCAGGAUUCAGCCUAUAGCAGUGUAGGACACACUCAGCACAGGCUGUUGAUUGUAGCCAUCCUUCACGGCAGUCAUUCAUUAUAUAAUUUCAAAGGUAACUUAAACAUGUGCCAGAAACUUUGGAGAGACUAGUCCUUGGUGAAAUGGGCUCUGGACCAAAUCUUUACUUUAAUGAUAAUGCUUUAGAAUAAAAUAUUUUUUGGUUCAGAACAUGAGAACAUGUGAAUCUCUCUUUGGCUCUCACCUUUUAAAGAAAGAGAUGAAAUUUAAGUUUUAUGAAAAUUAAUGCAAGUAAUUAAAUGCUAAAACAAUAACAAGUAUAUACUGUUACAGCUCAUGAAAAAUCAUAAGGAAAGGUGAAUGUAUCCAGACAGUUUUUAAUAAAGACUUGAUUCUGUACACACAUUUGUGCAAGUAGUUUUUAAUCAUUUGAUAGAUCCAAAGAAAUCAAUAGCUCUAUUCACAAAACAGAACUGAUUUGCAUGAAUAAUAUUAUGUAUUUGCAGAAGAUGAGGUAUACAUUUAUGUUAAAGCUAAUCUGUAGUAAUAAGGCUUAUCUGUAGCUUGACAAUUUCUUCAGAGUCAUUUGAUGUUUCUGAAUAUGUUGCCUUUUUUUUCUGGAAAACACUGAAAUCACAAAGUCAUAAAGAGAAGUGUAGAUCAAGACUGGAAAACAACCAGAGGUCUCAAACUGUCAAAACUGUCAAUGGUUCCAGGAGAUUUUCAUCUUAAAAAUGCCAGUUACAGCUGAGCCACUGUGACAAGAAAGAGGCAUGACAGUCCAGAGAGUAGGAGAAUCUUGCUGUAGUCUCACAUGCCAUGGAAGGGCAAUAAAGUAUAUACAAGGUAUGUUUUUUAUUCUACCUGCUUUUCUUAGACUGCAUUGAAUCUCUACUGAGAAUAUCCAGAUUUAAAAUAUUGCACUAAACUUUAUGACGGUUGUUCUACACUUUAUGACUGUUACUCUAAUGCACCACAUCACAUGCAAUUAAAGCAGCCACAAAUAUUAGGCCAGUCAGAGCACUUUCCUU
rnacentral:lncRNA from 1 species